GCCUCUGGUCUCCCUCUGGCCUCCAGGGCCUUGUACACUCUAGGCUUUCAUUCAUUGUCGCACACUCAGUGAAGGCCUACUGUGUGCCAGGCCCUCUGCCGGGCAUCGAGUGGGGGAAGGC
rnacentral:precursor_RNA from 15 species